AUGGUCAGAUCUUCUCAUCGCCGGCCACAGGAGGACAAUGAUCUAGCCGUGCUCCAAAACUACCACCACCAAGCAGGGGAGCAUUGCGCCGGCCUCCUCUCCUCUGGUCCCAAGUCCGACCACCACCACAACCAGGCGUGCUCCUCCAUAGGCCCAACUGUGGAGUCCGGAGCAACCAAGGCCAACCAAGUUGUUGGAGGACAAAUUUUCUCUGUUCUCAAAGCUUGUAGUGGAAUACAUGAUGAGGUUGAUGCACAAUUGAGCCAGCAUCACAAAUGUUAUCAAAUGAAAUUUUACUUUAUCCAAAUUGUUUUAUGCAAAUAUUAG
rnacentral:rRNA from 1 species